rnacentral:rRNA from 1 species
UACAGAGGGGGCAAGCGUUGUUCGGAAUUACUGGGCGUAAAGGGCGCGUAGGCGGCCUGCUAAGUCGGACGUGAAAUCCCCGGGCUCAACCCGGGAACUGCGUCCGAUACUGGAAGGCUUGAAUCCGGGAGAGGGAUGCGGAAUUCCAGGUGUAGCGGUGAAAUGCGUAGAUAUCUGGAGGAACACCGGUGGCGAAGGCGGCAUCCUGGACCGGUAUUGACGCUGAGGCGCGAAAGCCAGGGGAGCAAACGGG